AUGGUUUGUAUAUGUUGACUCCGAAAAUGAUUUUGAUGAUCACAAAAUAUUAGAGUAUAAUAUUAGACUAAUAUCGUUCAAAUAUUUUAAAAAAUAUUUUUGCAGAAAGAAAGUACUGAUGAAAAAGGCUAAAAAAAUUUGAGCCAAAAAAAAAAUAGUUUUUGAGUCAAGACACUCAAAAAAGUUUCUUUGAAGAAAUCGAGUUGACUCAUCCUUAAACUGAGUCGACUCCGGCACAAGGGAUUGGUAUGUAGUCGAGCUGACUCUGAAAAGAUCCGACUCAGCUCUCUCAUGCAGAUAAAAAGGUGUAUUUUUUGUUUCUAAAAUCAAGUUAGCUUGAAAUCAGUCCAAGCCGACUCUCUCAGAGGAACAGAAUGCUAGAUAUUUCAAAUCCGAAAUUGAGCCAUCUCAAAAGAUAGCAGAGCCGACUCAAAGACAAACUGAGCCGACUUGAGAUUAUUUUGAGCUGGCGAGAAUUUUUCUGACAGACAUAAUGACUAGUUCUACAGCGCAUCCUAUUUCAUCCAAAAAAUAUUUCAACAGCUAUUUCUUGACUCAAAUGGUUAAAAAUGGCUAGUUUUGGCUUCAAAUCACUCAUAACUUAGAGGAAAUCAAGAAGAGACAUAAGAGAAAUAAGGGAAUAAAAAGAAAAGCCCUGUUCAAGUGAGAAAGUUAGCCUUUAAGCAUUUAUUAUUCUUCAAAAGUAUUCAACCACUUCCAAUCAAUUCCUCUUGAGCUUUUUGUGAAGUGCAUUCAAGGAGAAGUAAAGAGCAUUUAGUGCAAGCAAUUAAAGCUUCUUCAAGUAUACUCCAAUGACAACAAAUCAGUCGGAUAAAGAAUUUUUAUUGUUGUAUAAAUUGCUAUUUCUGAAAUUUUUGUAAUAAUUUUCAGAAAAGCUGAAACUUGAAGGAAAGGUUUGAUACAAACCUUGAAUUAGAUUGGAAGUCUUGGGAUAAAGCUUGUAAAGAUUUUGAUUGGUUGACUUAAAAAAAUCAAUUGGAUUGUUUGUGAUUUCGAUAAAAAUAAACUUAUUGUAUUCUACACGAAUAUAGUAAAAUUCUCAAGAAAUUACUUAGAGAGUGGAUGUAGGUACUUGGAGUGCACUGAACCAUUAUAAAACUUACUGUGUUUGUGUGUGUGUGUGCUUUAUCUUCAUCUCUCUUGCAUAUAGUUCCACUUGAAUUUAUUGUACAUAUUUGUUUAAAAUUUUAAUAACCCAGU
rnacentral:lncRNA from 1 species